GUAGCUGGGCAAGCGUUGUCCGGAUUUACUGGGCGUAAAGCGCGCGUAGGUGGAAGGUCAAGUCCGGCUUGAAAGCCCCCGGCUCAACCGGGGAGAGUGGCUGGAAACUGGUCUUCUUGAGGGCGAGAGAGGAGGGUGGAAUUCCUGGUGUAGCGGUGAAAUGCGUAGAGAUCAGGAGGAACACCCGAGGCGAAGGCGGCCCUCUGGCUCGACCCUGACGCUGAGGCGCGAAAGCGUGGGGAGCGAACGGGAUUAGAUACCCCGGUAGUCCACGCCGUAAACGAUGGUCACUAGGUGUGUGCGGUAUCGACCCCGCACGUGCCGGCGCUAACGCAUUAAGUGACCCGCCUGGGGAGUACGGCCGCAAGGUUG
rnacentral:rRNA from 1 species